CCAGCACCCCGAGUGGUCGGGACGAUUAUUGGGCCUAAAGCAUCCGUAGCCGGUACUGCAAGUCUUCCGUUAAAUCCACCUGCUUAACAGUUGGGCUGCGGGGGAUACUACAGCGCUAGGAGGCGGGAGAGGCAAGCGGUACUCAAUGGGUAGGGGUAAAAUCCGCUGAUCCAUUGAAGACCACCAGUGGCGAAGGCGGCUUGCCAGAACGCGCUCGACGGUGAGGGAUGAAAGCUGGGGGAGCAAACCGGAUUAGAUACCCGGGUAGUCCCAGCUGUAAACGAUGCAGACUCGGUGAUGGGCUGGCCUUGUGCCAGCCCAGUGCCGCAGGGAAGCCGUUAAGUCUGCCGCCUGGGGAGUACGGUCGCAAGACUG
rnacentral:rRNA from 1 species